rnacentral:rRNA from 1 species
AUUGAACGCUGGCGGCAGGCCUAACACAUGCAAGUCGAGCGGAUGAAGGGAGCUUGCUCCUGGAUUCAGCGGCGGACGGGUGAGUAAUGCCUAGGAAUCUGCCUGGUAGUGGGGGAUAACGUCCGGAAACGGGCGCUAAUACCGCAUACGUCCUGAGGGAGAAAGUGGGGGAUCUUCGGACCUCACGCUAUCAGACGAGCCUAGGUCGGAUUAGCUAGUUGGUGGGGUAAAGGCCUACCAAGGCGACGAUCCGUAACUGGUCUGAGAGGAUGAUCAGUCACACUGGAACUGAGACACGGUCCAGACUCCUACGGGAGGCAGCAGUGGGGAAUAUUGGACAAUGGGCGAAAGCCUGAUCCAGCCAUGCCGCGUGUGUGAAGAAGGUCUUCGGAUUGUAAAGCACUUUAAGUUGGGAGGUAGGGCAGUAAGUUAAUACCUUGCUGUUUUGACGUUACCAACAGAAUAAGCACCGGCUAACUUCGUG